CUAUCUACUGUAGAUACCCACUUUCAACUGCACUCUGCCCGUCUCCCUCUCUCCUUUCAUUUGUACCUUCAUCUCUUCUUCCGCCCUCAUUAUUCUUUCUCCUUGAAUCCUCCCUCAUUCAUGGAAAACUGAUUUCAUGGAAUUCAAGCAAUGUCUCUUCAUUUUAAUAAAAUGAUUAAUGUUCUGAAAAUGGGAAAAUGCGUAUUGAUAGAGGGGACAUGACACUUGCUUAUAUGGAAGUAAUGGAACUCAAGCUCCCGUGUGAUAUUGAGACUCAUGACCUGCUCGAUGCUGGAAUAUAGUAGAUUCAGUGCGGCUUUGGAUGAGACCCUGAUCUAGGAAGAAGUAUUCCAAGCUAAAGAGGUUGACAAAAUGUACCUUUGAUGUUUAUCAAAGUCAAGCAUUUAGUAUCUCCUUUGUGGUUAAAGGAAUUUAUGGCGGUGAGAUAGACAACAAAAUAGGAAAACUUAUAUAUGCUAUUUUUUUUUAUUUUUUAUUUUGCAUAUUAUAGAUAAUUGCUUAAUGCAUGGUAUAAAAUGAUGGUUAGCUAAAACAAUUAUACAAGUCUGUAGUUUUUUUUUUUUGUAUUUUGGUAUGAUAACAUAUUAACAUACCAACUCAUUCAAUUAUCGUUAGUACAAAUAUCGAAAACAAUUAUAUAA